GAAGGACAGGAAUAAUGAGAACUUAGAUGAUACUCAUUACCCAUGUCUUUCA
rnacentral:pre_miRNA from 1 species